rnacentral:rRNA from 1 species
GAUGAACGCUGGCGGCGUGCUUAACACAUGCAAGUCGAACGGUGAAGGCGGAGCUUGCUCUGCUGGAUCAGUGGCGAACGGGUGAGUAACACGUGAGCAAUCUGCCCCUGACUCUGGGAUAAGCGCUGGAAACGGCGUCUAAUACUGGAUACGAGCUGCGAAGGCAUCUUCAGCAGCUGGAAAGAACUUCGGUCAGGGAUGAGCUCGCGGCCUAUCAGCUUGUUGGUGAGGUAACGGCUCACCAAGGCGUCGACGGGUAGCCGGCCUGAGAGGGUGACCGGCCACACUGGGACUGAGACACGGCCCAGACUCCUACGGGAGGCAGCAGUGGGGAAUAUUGCACAAUGGGCGAAAGCCUGAUGCAGCAACGCCGCGUGAGGGACGACGGCCUGCGGGUUGUAAACCUCUUUUAGCAGGGAAGAAGCGAAAGUGACGGUACCUGCAGAAAAAGCGCCGGCUAACUACGUG